rnacentral:rRNA from 1 species
UACGUAGGAAGCGAGCGUUGUCCGGAUUUACUGGGCGUAAAGAGCGCGCAGGCGGUCGAUCAAGUCGAGUGUGAAAGCCCCCGGCUCAACUGGGGAGGGUCAUUCGAUACUGAUCGACUCGAAGGCAGGAGAGGGUAGUGGAAUUCCCGGUGUAGUGGUGAAAUGCGUAGAUAUCGGGAGGAACACCAGUGGCGAAGGCGACUACCUGGCCUGUUCUUGACGCUGAGGCGCGAAAGCUAGGGGAGCAAACGGG